UCCAUGACAUGGAUGCUAUCAGAAGGAAAGUGUGCCAGCAUCAUCUUCUGAGGUUAACGAGUUUCUGCAUGUCACCGAACACUCUACUAAACUUCUACCCUGUUGAAAGUAUAAGUGGUAGAUAAAUACAAACUCUGGCAUUGUAUUCUCAUCACAGAACUGAAGGACAGUGUGAGAGUGGUUGUUUCCAAAGGCAUCAAUCUAUCAGACGAUGAGUAAUGAUUAAGUGAUACAAGUAGGUGAAUUGUGGAGAAUGCUAUAGAUAGAAGUCUACUGUACUAAUUGAAGCUUGGCAGUUAGGCAUUUGAAUACAUGAGGAAGUGUGUUGAGCUCUGAUAUCCACAACUGACAGUAGAGCUUUUUGGGCAUUUUCUUUGACCGCUUGCAUUCGGUCGUCUCAGUGGCUGUUUCAUUGUCGGAAAUUAAACAGGAUCAUAGGAAGGUGCAAAGGAGAUUCACUAGGCUAUUUCCUGGAAUGGAGCAGUUCAGCUAUGAAGACAGACUGGUGAAUCCAGGUGUGUCCUCCCUCGAGUAGAGGAAAUUCAAAGGGGUCACAAUUCAGGCUAGUAAAAUGAUGGAGAAGGUAGUUUGCAAGAAGUAUCUAUAUCUUCAAAAAGCAUCCAGUUAAAAUUCAACAUUCUGAGGUAUUUUCUAAGGAUUUUGGCACUUUCAGGAAUUGCUCCAGAAUAAGGCUUUCACAACAGAACAAAGAAAUACAAUGAAAUCAGUGAAGGACUACACACAGUGACUGACGAGCAAAAAAAAGGAUAAACAUUACAAAUCCUAAAAGGCAAAUACUAAAUAAAUAAAUAUGUACUUCCCAUACCAGGCCCAGUUUGCCAUGGACAACUGAAUAAGGAAUUGACAAUAACCAUCAGCAGCGUCCACAUCCAAUAAGCAACGGCGAAAACCACCAUGAGGUGAUGAAACGGUCUCUUAGAAACUUGGUAAAUGAGAAUAUGAAAAUCAAGAAAAAAACACAGAUGUCAUUAAAUAACAGAAUUACUAGAAACAUACGGGAGGUCAGGCAGCACUGGGAACAGAAACAGAGUUAGGGUUUAAAGUCCAAACCCUUUGCCAAUUCUGAUGAGGAGUCUUGGACAUUAGACUUCCACAGAAGCUCUCUAAUCUGAUGAAUUUUAUAACACUUAAAAGGCAUUCAACAUUGACAAGUAUGUUGACGGGAAAGAUUUAGAGGUAUAUAGCCCAAACAUUGGCAAAUGGGACUAGUGUAGAUACGGCUGGAGGACAACAUCAGGUCUCACUGUGGAGGGACAGUUGACAUUUCGGCUCAAAACUGGAUGUACAUCGUCUGAGCCCUGAGUUCUUCCAGCCAUUUGUGUGAUGCUCCAGAUUCCAGUACCUGCUGUCUCCUGUGUCUUAGCUAAGAUUAGAGAGGAGCAUGAUAAGCAAAUGAAACAACAUAAUAAAGUCCGUGUGCAAGCUAUCACCUCAAGGGA